rnacentral:rRNA from 1 species
AUCAACUUUCGAUGGUAGGAUAGAGGCCUACCAUGGUGGUAACGGGUAACGGGGAAUUAGGGUUCGAUUCCGGAGAGGGAGCCUGAGAAACGGCUACCACAUCCAAGGAAGGCAGCAGGCGCGCAAAUUACCCACUCCCGACACGGGGAGGUAGUGACAAUAAGUAACAAUACGGGGCUCUUUAGGGUCUCGUAAUUGGAAUGAGUACAAUUUAAAUCCCUUAACGAGGAACAAUUGGAGGGCAAGUCUGGUGCCAGCAGCCGCGGUAAUUCCAGCUCCAAUAGCGUAUAUUAAAGUCGUUGCAGUUAAAAAGCUCGUAGUUGAAUUUCGGGAUUUGCACAUCGGUCGUGCCUUAAGGGGUAUGAACUGGUGUAGUGAAUUUCUCACCUUCUGGAGAACCGCGAUGUCCUUAAUUGGGUGCCGCGAGGAACCAGGACCUUUACUUUGAAAGAAUUAGAGUGUUUAAAGCAGGCAUUUUUGCUUGAAUACAUUAUCAUGGAAUAAUAAAAUAGGACGGCGUGAUUCUAUUUUGUUGGCUUCUAGGAUCACCGUAUGGAUUAAUAGGGAUAGUUGGGGGCAUUACUAUUCAAUUGUCAGAGGUGAAAUUCUUGGAUUUAUUGAAGACUAACUACUGCGAUGGCAUUUGCCAAGGAUGUUUUCAUUAAUCAAGAACGAAAGUUANNGGAUCGAAUACGAUCAGAUACCGUCGUACUCUUAACCAUAAACUAUGCCGACUAGGAAUCAGACGAUGUUAAUUUUUUAAUGACUCGUUUGNCACCUUACGGCAAACCUAAGUGUUUGGGUUC